rnacentral:lncRNA from 1 species
GUGGCAUCCAGAGGGUCCUUCAAGAGCCCUCUGAGUCUACAGCAAAUUGAGAUGCAGGUACAAGGUUUGAGGGCUUCUAUUCCUAGCAGGAUUUCACAGAAAGUAGUGACAGGUUUAUUUGAGAGGCUGGCUGUUAAACCCCCAAAAAGCUGUUUGGUGACAGAAAAGGCCAUCCUCCCACAUCUCUAGCACUGUCUCCACUCACCUGAACACACCCUCUCUUUUCUUCCCACCUUCUGUGCCUGUAGCCUGUACUUUUCUCUUGGCCUUUACAUCUGCACUUAUGGUGAGCUACUUAGUGGAGGCAGGGGAUGGGAGGGCGUGUAACCUCAGGGGAACCAGCAUAUGCUAAUAGACAAAAUCCAUGACAGUAAGAACUGUGGCUUUACUUACUACAUAUUUUCCUUUGCCAAGAGUGAUAUAUUAGACAGUUGAGCCAGUUACUUGUCCAUUGGCUUUCAACUCCAUAAAUGCCUUUCCUUAUUACCCUCUGAUCAUGAAGAGCUAGAAGGCUACAAAGUCAACACUCUUCUCAGCCAGCUUCCUGUUAGCUUCUGUCAAUAGGAGAGGAGGAUGGGAAGAGUUUGGAAGAUGGAAGGGAGAGCCAUUUUUUCUUUUCUGCUUUUGGUGAUGCCUCCAGCAGAGGCAGCUCUCCUGGGCUCCACGGGCACUCCACAAGCAGCAGCACUUACACAUGACUUCACACACCCCAGGUGUAAUAAGAAUGUGUGCUCCUGGCUUCUUGGAGAGAAGUAGAGGUGGUAGUUGAAAGAGCAGUUUUAGUAGAGACCCCAUUAGUCUUAGUGGCCAAGGAACAUGGGCUCUGGGAAUACCAUUUUUCCUUAUGUUCCUCCAAUCCUAGGGGUAGACAGGGGCUUUAUGCAGUUGCUAAUCUCUGGGUUAUGUCACCACUUUUCAAUUCCAGACUCCUUUUGAGAUUAUUUGUUUACGGUUUUGUUGAGAUAUAUCAAAUGUAUUCAAACUACAUAAUCUGAUAAACUUUAAUAUAAGUAUAUGCUGUGAUACCAUCAUCACAGUAAAAAUAACUUGUUAUUUCCCAUGCUCCAAAAGUUUCUCAUGCUCCUUUGUAAUCUCUCCCUCUUCUUCCCCCACCACAGAUCUGCUUUCUGUCAUCAUAGCUUGCAUUUUCUAGUAUUUUAUAUAAAUAGAAUCAUACAGUAUGUAUUUCCUUUUCCUUAAUUUAAAUUCUUUUAAUUAGCAUAAUUAAACUGACCCAUGUUGCAUAUUUUAAUCAUUCAUUCCUUUUUUGUUGCUGAAGAAUAUUCUGUUGUAUAUAUGUAUCACAGUUUGUGUUUUCAUUCACCAAUUUUUUUUUUAAACAGAGAAAGAGUACAUAUGUGCAGAAAGGGGGUCAGAGGGAGAGAGAAAAUCUUAAGCAGGCUCCAUGCUCAGCACAGAGUCCCACCUGGACCUUGAUCUCAUGACCCUGGGAUCAUGACCUGAGACGAAAUCAAGAGUUGGACACUCAACAGACUGAGCCACCAAGGCACCCCUUCAUUCACCUUUUGAUGGACAUUUGUUUGUUUCCAGUUUUGAGCUGUUACAAAUAAAGCUGCUAGGUCACUUGUGUACGAGUCUGUGUAUGAAAUCUGCUUUCAUUUCUCUUGGGGAAAUACCUAAUCUGGGAAUGACUGGAUUAUAGGGUAGUUUUACAUUCUCACCAGCAGUACAUGAGAAUUCUAGUUGCUCCACAUUCUUGUCAACACUUGAGAUGGUUUGUUUUAACUUUAGCCAUUCUACUCCUUCCAGUACUUUUGUAACCAAGUCACUAAAUUAAAUUCCUGUUUAAGAUAACUAGAGUGAUUUCUUUUUUUUUCUCUCUAGUUUGGUGCUAAUUCCAUACAAAAAUUAUGUGACUCAACACUCAAUAUGUAUUGGAUGAAUAAAUGGAGAGGAAAGCUCUCACGGCUUGAAAGGAUGAAAGAUCACGUCUAGGCAGGCAGAAACUAGGAUGAAAUGAAAAUAUAAUAUCUCUAUUUGAAGCGUAGGCACAGGAGCGAAGCAAGAAAGGAUCUCUAGCACACACAUAGGUGAAGGUUCAGAGGUAUGAGAUGGGAAACAUUUAACAGAGAAGAGUAAAUUGCCAGUGUUUGUAAAUAGAGACUAAUGGAAGAGUAUAGAUGAAAAUCAUAUUUUGAGCAAAGUAAAUUGAGCAAGCAAUAAAGAGUAGAUAGGAAUGGCAAUCAAUAGAAAAGACAAUGGCUUAUGUCCAGUGGAGUUCUAUAUAAGGACAAAUUUCAAAAAGAAGGAGGAGUUUCAUGGCAGCCAAUUAAAAUAAAUGAACAUAAGAAAAUAUAAACAAACAGCUCACCCACCCCAGGACAGCCUCAGGAGAUCAGACCAGAUCUGAUAUUGACUAGGUACUGACUCUAGUGCCUUCGGGACAGGUGACUGGGGUGGGUGGGUGCGAUGAGUCAAUUUGCUGUGGGCAGGCACACAAGUCCUUCUAGCCUGAUGAUUCAGGAGCUGAAGGAG